CAGUAGCCGCGGUAAUACGGAGGAUCCAAGCGUUAUCCGGAAUCAUUGGGUUUAAAGGGUCCGUAGGCGGUCUUGUAAGUCAGUGGUGAAAGCCCAUCGCUCAACGGUGGAACGGCCAUUGAUACUGCAGGACUUGAAUUAUUGGGAAGUAACUAGAAUAUGUAGUGUAGCGGUGAAAUGCUUAGAGAUUACAUGGAAUACCAAUUGCGAAGGCAGGUUACUACCAAUUGAUUGACGCUGAUGGACGAAAGCGUGGGUAGCGAACAGGAUUAGAGACCCCGGUAGUCCCUGUCUCUUAUAA
rnacentral:rRNA from 1 species